rfam:Mus musculus chromosome 19, GRC primary reference assembly.
CUUGUCCCUAGGGGUACUGCAGAUGUGGCUACUGUGUGUCAGUAGGUGGCAGAGAGGAGAGGGGCUGGCCUAUGAACAUCUGAAUGACUAGUAGCCUAACAUU